rnacentral:rRNA from 1 species
UUGGUGAGGUAAAGGCUUACCAAGGUUUCGAUCAGUAGCUGGUCUGAGAGGACGACCAGCCACACUGGGACUGAGACACGGCCCAGACUCCUACGGGAGGCAGCAGUGGGGAAUUUUGGACAAUGGGGGAAACCCUGAUCCAGCCAUGCCGCGUGAGUGAAGAAGGCCUUCGGGUUGUAAAGCUCUUUCAGCCGGAACGAAACGGUCACGGCCAAUACCCGUGAUCACUGACGGUACCGGAAGAAGAAGCACCGGCUAACUACGUGCCAGCAGCCGCGGUAAUACGUAGGGUGCGAGCGUUAAUCGGAAUUACUGGGCGUAAAGCGUGCGCAGGCGGUUUUGUAAGUCAGAUGUGAAAUCCCCGGGCUCAACCUGGGAACUGCGUUUGAAACUACCAAGGCUA